rnacentral:rRNA from 1 species
AACGAACGCUGGCGGCAUGCCUAACACAUGCAAGUCGAACGGGAUCCUGGUUUCGGCCAGGUGAGAGUGGCGGACGGGUGAGUAACGCGUGGGAACCUGCCCAGUGGUGGGGGAGUAACUGCGGGAAACUGCAGCUAAUACCGCAUGAGCCCGCAAGGGGAAAGGAUUGAUCGCCAUUGGAGGGGCCCGCGUUCGAUUAGGUAGUUGGUGAGGUAACGGCUCACCAACGCCUACCGANCGAUAGCUGGUCUGAGAGGAUGAUCAGCCACACUGGGACUGAGAUACGGCCCAGACUCCUACGGGAGGCAGCAGUGGGGAA